GCCGUUCUCUUUGUAUCCCUGAUGACCAUAGCCAUCUCUCCCACCCAUAACUGAGCCGUUACCCAUCAUAGCCAUCACAAAAUCUCCAAUGUCACAGGCCAAGUUAAGCAGAAACCCAUUGAAGGUUAAGAAGAAAGAACAGAGUAGCCUUGCACCAUCGGUCUGCCAGUAAAAUCACUAUGAAACCCAACGAAGGUUAAGGAGAAAGAACAGAGUAGCCUUGCACCACUAGUCUUCUAGCAAAAUCACUACGGUAAAUUGAUUUCUUUCAUUGUUCCCUUUCAU